rnacentral:lncRNA from 1 species
CUCUGAUACCACUGUUGAGUUUCGGUGGUGUAGCAGAAGGGUUAGGUGUUUAAAAUUUUCAUUCAAAACACCCGAUGCAUCGAAAACCCCAAUGCCCAGAAACCCUUGACUAUAAUAAUCAAAGUACAAUAAAUAUAAGUUAAGAUAAGAAGAAAACCUGUAGAGCUAAUCUCAAUUUUCAUAAAAUAUCCAAGUGUCCGCCCUCC